rnacentral:rRNA from 1 species
AUUGAACGCUGGCGGCAGGCUUAACACAUGCAAGUCGAGCGGAGAGAGGUAGCUUGCUACUGAUCUUAGCGGCGGACGGGUGAGUAAUGCUUAGGAAUCUGCCUAUUAGUGGGGGACAACAUUUCGAAAGGAAUGCUAAUACCGCAUACGUCCUACGGUAGAAAGCAGGGGAUCUUCGGACCUUGCGCUAAUAGAUGAGCCUAAGUCGGAUUAGCUAGUUGGUGGGGUAAAGGCCUACCAAGGAGACGAUCUGUAGCGGGUCUGAGAGGAUGAUCCGCCACACUGGGACUGAGACACGGCCCAGACUCCUACGGGAGGCAGCAGUGGGGAAUAUUGGACAAUGGGCGCAAGCCUGAUCCAGCCAUGCCGCGUGUGUGAAGAAGGCCUUAUGGUUGUAAAGCACUUUAAGCGAGGAGGAGGCUACUUUAGUUAAUACCUAAAGAUAGUGGACGUUACUCGCAGAAUAAGCACCGGCUAACUCUGUGCCAGCCGCCGCUGUAACAC